rnacentral:snRNA from 1 species
AUCGCUUCUCGGCCUUUUGGCUCAGAUCAAGUGUAGUAUCUGUUCUUAUCAGUUUAAUAUCCUGAUACGUCCCCCAUCGGGGGACUACAUAUUAAAUGGAUUUUUCGAACAGGGAGUCGGAAAUGGGGCUUGCUCCGUCCGCUCACGCAUCGACCCGGUAUUGCAGUACCUCCGGGAAUGGUGCAACACUU